rnacentral:rRNA from 1 species
UUAAGCGUGUAGGCUGGUUUUCCAGGCAAAUCCGGAAAAUCAAGGCUGAGGCGUGAUGACGAGGCACUGCGGUGCUGAAGCAACAAAUGCCCUGCUUCCAGGAAAAGCCUCUAAGCAUCAGGUAACAUCAAAUCGUACCCCAAACCGACACAGGUGGUCAGGUAGAGAAUACCAAGGCGCUUGAGAGAACUCGGGUGAAGGAACUAGGCAAAAUGGUGCCGUAACUUCGGGAGAAGGCACGCUGAUAUGUAGGUGAAGUCCCUCGCGGAUGGAGCUGAAAUCAGUCGAAGAUACCAGCUGGCUGCAACUGUUUAUUAAAAACACAGCACUGUGCAAACACGAAAGUGGACGUAUACGGUGUGACGCCUGCCCGGUGC